AAAAAGAAGAAAGGGUGACUUUGGGAACAGAAAUGAACUGAAAUCAAGAAACAGAAGGGCCAAGGAAAGAAGUCCAUUUGAAUGUAUCAACAUGCAGGUUUAUUAAUUAUUCCCUGAAUAAUCAACAACUAAACCAUUCUGCAUUGCUUGGCUAUUGAAUAUGAUCAAACCUAUAUUUAUCAUUUGGAACUGAAGUUCAAUGUCUUAUACAAGCUUUGUUUGCUCAUGACUAUUCCGUCACCAUUUAUAGAAAGUAUAGUUUUUCAAAAGUGUGAAGAAUCCACCAGCUUUCUGAUCUUUGUGACUCCUCUUAAAGAAAUAAAUAACAACCAGACACAGGACCCCUCCUAUCUGGAUGGGAUCAAGUUAAAUGUCAUCCGUGGGUCAGAGGAGACAACCUAGGAAACCACCACCCAACAGUUUCCUUUAUUUUCCAUGACUGAACACUAGAAAAUUCCCAAAUCCUUCCACUACAAAGAGAAAAGAGUUGUAAAUCAACAGAACGGAAGAGAAACAAAAAGGCAUUUCCUCUAUCUUUAACAAAGGGAACUUAGAGUUAUCAAGAGAAGGAACACGACUUUCUACUUAGCUCCAUAAUUUUCAUUCUAAUGUUAUUAAAAAGAAGUCAUCAUUGGUACAUGGAAGGAUAAAUCUAUAUUUUAAAGUCCCUCUUUUCUGUUGUUGGUCACAAAAGGCAACAAAGAAGCAUCUAAUAAAUAGAAUCUCUUAUUUGAAACAUUGGAAAAAGGAUGCCAGCUCCUGGAAAAUACCUUGCCCAUCAGUAAAGAAAUCGGUCCACAGGGAAUAAAAAUGGAAUGGAGAGCUCUCCAAUGCUGCCCUAUGGGGAGAAAUAAAAGGGGUCUCCACAUGUGGACUUCAUAAAAACUUUGAUAUAAAAGAAAUCUAUUAUCAAAAGUACACGGUAACCCCAGCAAGUGUUCUGUUUAAUCUUUGCACAGAGGAUUUAGGGCCUGCAAAGUGCAAGAGGCAUGAUGCAUUGGCCAUUUUAGUAUUCAUGUCUCCUGUACUGCUUUCUAAUAAGUUAAGAUGAAACGGGAGACUGCGUGCAGGAGUGAGAGAUGCAAGAAAAGCAGUACUGAGAAAUAAAGAUGAACAAAAGUGCAUCUUGACUUCCCUUUUAUUAUUAACAGGCGAGAGAACAACAAUGCCAAACUUAUAAUGUUAUUACUUAACACUUCACAUUUACAAAAAGACGUUGCAGUCAUUUUUACAUGUUAUUUCUCAAUAUUUUUCUGAUAGAGGCUUUUCUUAUAAUCAGUUUUUAUGAUGAUAUAUGAAAUGAUUUUUCCAAAAAGGAAGAUAAACAUGCAGUCUGUGCCAGCAUGUUACCAAAACAAUCUUUUUGGUGAGAAUAAUUGUUUCCUUUACUGUUUGGGUAGGACAAACAACUGGUUGGCCGACUAUUUGAAUGUUGUUUUCUUCGUGUUAUAUAGACCCACUUUUUCACUCCUACUCCCCUCCACUCCAUUCAACUCACUAUUACUUAAGUGUACCCCUUACAUCGUAUUUCUGAAAUAUAAAUAACAUAAUAGGAUAAGAUCUAAAGAAAACUAGCCUUCCUCUUAAUUCUUCUGUGAUAUAAGGUGUGUAAAUGGAGUGGCACCCAUGAGUGAGUAUCUGUGCACCUGCCUGUAGGCUGGCCUCUUUCUAAGAGGAGCAUGUCUGUGAGGCACACUGAGAAAUGUUUGCUCAACAUAAGUGGGCAAAGUAUGCUGAGAUUCAGAAACUCCAUCUACCUCAUGUUUUAGGUGUCUGCUAGUUAGUUUGCAUGGAGAAAGUCAUUCAAUAAAUAAGUAGACCCCAAACCAGGGGACUGUCUCCUACCUUUAACUGUCAUCCUCACCUCCAUGACAAACUAGUUUGGUAUUUCUUCUGGGGCAAAAGAAUGGCAGUGGAAAGUUCUCCAAUCCCUUAGGCUUUAUUAGAUUUGGGAAGAAUCUGGGAUUCUGAUGAGAAAGAUUUCUUCAUUUAUUAUUAGAUGGCCCAAAGCAUAGCAAUCUGUCAGUUGCCUCUUUCUGUUUUGCAGAAUAAGGUAUCUUAACAAAAAAAAAAAACCAAGCAGAAAUUAUCUAGGUAAACUUUCUACAUUUCUUCAACAAAUGUAAAAAAUAUGCCUUUACUUGGGGCCAUAUAGUCAUAGUCUAGCAGGUAAUAAACUAUAUAUUUUUAAGUACAAGUUCCAGUGAAAUGAACAUUGUUAAGUAGAGUAAACAUUUAUUUCAAAGCCAUAAGUAUGUCUGAGUAUUGAAAAAGGGUUCAAGAUCUUUAAAUAUGUUCCCAUUAUAAGAACUUUGCACACACACACACACACACACACACACACAUUUAUUUCCUUCAACUUCAAAUCUAAUAAAUAGAGUCAAUAGAUAGAUACCCUUUUCUCUUUACUUCUUAAUCUAUAGAUUAUUAAAUCUAACAUGUGAAAACUAUGGAGAAUAUGCUCCCUACUCUCGGGCAGUGGAUUGAAGUGGUAUGUCUGUUGCAGUGUUACUUGUCUGCAUGGAGAGCUUGCAUUGAUUGACUGAUGCCUCUAGGUGUAAAGGUACAGUCCUUAUGCUAAUGUUGAUAGUGAUGUUACAGUAAUAGCAAUAGUACCUGCAACUUUUUGAGUGCAUUCUAUGUGCUAGAUGAUUUAUAAACACAAUUUUUAUUUUAAAAAUACUACAGUGACUUUCACAAAAUUAAGAAACCAUGACUCCAAAUAUUUAUAUGAUUUUCUCAAGGUCCUGGAUCUGGGUUUGCAACCAAGUCUGUCUGAUUCAAAGUUCAUGUUUUCUUCCUACAUCCCUCCAAGCAGAGCGUUAAUUCAGGCAAUGUGAAAACUUGAAGUAAGGUGACCAUAUGUUCCAGUCUAUACCUGUUGUCCUGGCAUAAUUAAUAGAUUCCCCUUUCAUGCUUGAAAAUGCCCCAGUGUGGACAAUGUUUAACAAUCAACCUAUCUUUGAGCAAGGUUUAAAAUCCACAUAAGACUUUUCUAAGGUAUUGUUCACAAUGCUUUAAUUCAUCUUUUUGUCUUUACUGAAGGGUGUCAAACAAGUAACAAAUUGGACCUAGCUUUUUGUAUUUGGGAAAACAAAUGGAUUUAUGAAUGAAUAUCAUUUACUGGUUGGGUGUAUUAUCACUCUGUCAUUUCUCUUUGAGAAUCUUUUGUCCUUCCUCUUUUCUCUCUCCUCCUCCUAGUCUCCAUGUUUCUUUCUAUCCAGGCUUUCACUAUUGGUCAAGUAUUAAAAAAUAAAUUCCUUGGUUUUGCUUUAGCUUUUGUUUCUGACAAACCUUUAAAAUUCAGCUUGGCCACUCACUCCGAUGUUUAAACCACUACUAAUGGUAUUUUUGUCAAAAGAGAA
rnacentral:lncRNA from 1 species